UACGUAGGGUGCGAGCGUUAAUCGGAAUUACUGGGCGUAAAGCGUGCGCAGGCGGUUCGUUGUGUCGGCGGUGAAAUCCCCGGGCUCGACCUGGGAAUGGCCGUUGAAACUGGCGAACUGGAGUGUGGCAGAGGGGGGUGGAAUUCCGCGUGUAGCAGUGAAAUGCGUAGAGAUGCGGAGGAACACCGAUGGCGAAGGCAGCCCCCUGGGCUGACACUGACGCUCAGGCACGAAAGCGUGGGGAGCAAACAGG
rnacentral:rRNA from 1 species